UACGGAGGGGCUAGCGUUGUUCGGAAUUACUGGGCGUAAAGCGCACGUAGGCGGAUUGUUAAGUCAGGGGUGAAAUCCUGGAGCUCAACUCCAGAACUGCCUUUGAUACUGGCGAUCUCGAGUCCGGGAGAGGUGAGUGGAACUGCGAGUGUAGAGGUGAAAUUCGUAGAUAUUCGCAAGAACACCAGUGGCGAAGGCGGCUCACUGGCCCGGUACUGACGCUGAGGUGCGAAAGCGUGGGGAGCAAACAGG
rnacentral:rRNA from 1 species